CACGGCACUUAUGCUUAGCUCUGGCUGGCAUGCACGUUGGAUUUGCUCGUGGCUAACAGCUGACGAUUGCAAACUACGUGUCUCCGCGUCUACGGUGAAUUUCACCGUAGGAACGUGUGUGUACUCGAAGCGGCUGCUUGUUCGAGAAGUCUGCUAAAGAACUUCUCAAGUUGACAUCAGCCCUUGUGUGGCAGCAUAUUUGCCUUUGUCAUUUCACUUGUGUGCUGCCAGGUGAGGCUGCAACGUCUGCUGACAGUCCUCACCUGUGUGCUGCCAGGUGAGGCUGCAACUACGUCUGCUGACAGUCCUCGCCUCAGGGGGGCACUGCUGUGCUCUAAACAAAGUUAAGAACAACACGCAUCCAGAAAAUACGCUGAUUGAUCUUCAAAGACAUAUCAAGAUUUCAAGGAAACAGCUUUUUAUUAAUUAGUUUUGAAAAUCAUCGAAGAAUCCAUAAAACCAUUGAACAAUCUCACUGAAAAAGUCUCCCAUUGAACAAUCUCACUGAAAAAGUCUCCCAUUGAACAAUCUCACUGAAAAAGUCUCCCAUUGAACAAUCUCACUGAAAAAGUCUCCCAUUGAACAAUCUCACUGAAAAAGUCUCCCAUUGAACAAUCUCACUGAAAAAGUCUCCCAUUGAACAAUCUCACUGAAAAAGUCUCCCAUUGAACAAUCUCACUGAAAAAGUCUCCCAUUGAACAAUCUCACUGAAAAAGUCUCCCAUUGAACAAUCUCACUGAAAAAGUCUCCCAUUGAACAAUCUCACUGAAAAAGUCUCCCAUUGAACAAUCUCACUGAAAAAGUCUCCCAUUGAACAAUCUCACUGAAAAAGUCUCCCAUUGAACAAUCUCACUGAAAAAGUCUCCCAUUGAACAAUCUCACUGAAAAAGUCUCCCAUUGAACAAUCUCACUGAAAAAGUCUCCCAUUGAACAAUCUCACUGAAAAAGUCUCCCAUUGAACAAUCUCACUGAAAAAGUCUCCCAUUGAACAAUCUCACUGAAAAAGUCUCCCAUUGAACAAUCUCACUGAAAAAGUCUCCCAUUGAACAAUCUCACUGAAAAAGUCUCCCAUUGAACAAUCUCACUGAAAAAGUCUCCCAUUGAACAAUCUCACUGAAAAAGUCUCCCAUUGAACAAUCUCACUGAAAAAGUCUCCCAUUGAACAAUCUCACUGAAAAAGUCUCCCAUUGAACAAUCUCACUGAAAAAGUCUCCCAUUGAACAAUCUCACUGAAAAAGUCUCCCAUUGAACAAUCUCACUGAAAAAGUCUCCCAUUGAACAAUCUCACUGAAAAAGUCUCCCAUUGAACAAUCUCACUGAAAAAGUCUCCCAUUGAACAAUCUCACUGAAAAAGUCUGCCAUUGAACAAUCUCACUGAAAAAGUCUGCCAUUGAACAAUCUCACUGAAAAAGUCUGCCAUUGAACAGUCUCACUGAAAAAGUCUCCCGCUGAAUUGUCUCACUGAAAGUCUCCCGCUGAAUUGUCUCACUGAAAGUCUCUCCUUGAACUGUCUCACUGAAAAAGUCUCUCAUUGAAUUGUCUUAUUGAAACAGUCUCUCCUUGAACUAUCUCACUGAAAAAGUCUCAUUUCACAGCCUUAUUGAAAAGUCAUCCCUGUAACCGGGUCAUCGACAAGUCAUCCCUGGAACUGGGUCAUCAAUGAGUCAUUUCUUGAAAAUUGACGACUGGAAAGUCAUUACUUGGAUUAAAGCUUAAAUAUUUGUAUUGUUAUCUUUAUUUGAAUAAAACGUCUUCACUCUGACAUUUUUUUAUUGGUGUGAAAACAGCAUAAAUCUUUACUUUAUAACAGCUGACGUUGCUGAUUCAAUUUUCCCUCCAUUUGUAUUUUUCUGUAUAUUUAGGGUUAGAGGAAAUUGAAGGUAAACUAUUAAAUAAUUUUCUCCCUUUUUAAUUCUUAUUGAUAACCAGUUUAAUUGAAAAGUGAUCCCUGGAACAGUCAUCGAGAAGUCAUCCCUGGAACUGUCAUUGAGAAGUCAUUCUUUGAAAAUUUACUAUUGGAAAGUCAUUACUUGGAUUAAAGCCUAUUUAUUUGUAUUGUCAGGUUUGUUUGAAUAAAGCUUCUUCACUCUGA